rnacentral:lncRNA from 1 species
UUUCCCAAAUGGAGUCUGUUUUGCGCGUGAUAGUAACAGGAGAGUCGUCUUGUCUUUAACUCCACCCUUCAUCCUUCAAAUAUGAUCAUUAAAGGAAAAAUUUUAUUUUAUUGCUCCUUAUUAAAGGAAAAUUUUAUUUUCACACAGUAAGCUAUAUUGCGAAAGUGCGACUCACUUUUCUGGAAUAAAUCCUCCAAACAGCCAGACUGCUCCUUCCACAUUUACACCCAUUCAGAUUUUCUUCAGAGUAGGAAAUUUCAGCACUACAUUAAAGAUAAAUCAUGCAGAUCAAUAUUUUAUAGCCUGACACUUAGAAGAGUUGUAUAAUAUUAAGCAAAAUUGACACAAAGCAUGUGUUUAGAGCACCUGACAACACUCAAUGCAGAGAAAAUCGAGUUUUCUGCUGUGCCGUAGUCUCUUUUAUUAAAUCUGCUUACAGUCUCUGUCACUAUGAAGUAAAAGGGAGAAAGAGCGGAAGAAAAUAAGGUUUUUUUUUUUUCUUUAUUUAUUAUAUGCUUACGUUGUUGCACAAGCCAGUUCUGAAAUCCUGCCUUGAAGCUGGUCACUUAUGACUAGAUUCUCCCAGUGAGCUGCAUUUACUCAGUGACAGUGGACAGCAGUCAGCCCAGGCCUUUCUUAUGGCCAUGAUAGCAUAGGGCAUUAGGCGAUGCUUCCAGAAAACAAACUAUUUCUUCAGUCUGUGUUUAACCAUUGUUUUUCCUUCCCCAGAUGUUCUUGGUCAGAGGCCAUGGAUGAGGCAUGAGCAGGGUAUUCUGUUUAACAGUAGAAGUGCUGGCAUCAGGGCCACUGGAAUCAGCUCAUCGAUUCUCUCCCUACAGAGCACCAAUGCAUUCAUCGACUACAAGACAUUUCAGCUGUUGAGAACAGGAAAUGAGACUACAAGAAAAAAAACCGACAGUGUUCCACUAUACUUCUUCAGAAUCUUCUGUACACAGACUGAAAACACCAAAGAUCCCGGAAGUAAUUGUAGACUAUGUUAUUUAACUUUUUAA